AUUGAACGCUGGCGGCAGGCUUAACACAUGCAAGUCGAGCGGGGUGAUGGUGCUUGCACUAUCACUUAGCGGCGGACGGGUGAGUAAUGCUUAGGAAUCUGCCUAUUAGUGGGGGACAGCAUCUCGAAAGGGAUGCUAAUACCGCAUACGUCCUACGGGAGAAAGAAGGGGAUCUUCGGACCUUGCGCUAAUAGAUGAGCCUAAGUCGGAUUAGCUAGUUGGUGGGGUAAAGGCCUACCAAGGCGACGAUCUGUAGCGGGUCUGAGAGGAUGAUCCGCCACACUGGGACUGAGACACGGCCCAGACUCCUACGGGAGGCAGCAGUGGGGAAUAUUGGACAAUGGGGGGAACCCUGAUCCAGCCAUGCCGCGUGUGUGAAGAAGGCCUUAUGGUUGUAAAGCACUUUAAGCGAGGAGGAGGCUACUCUAGUUAAUACCUAGGGAUAGUGGACGUUACUCGCAGAAUAAGCACCGGCUAACUCUGUGCCAGCCGCCGCGGUAA
rnacentral:rRNA from 1 species